UACGGAGGGUGCAAGCGUUAUCCGGAUUCACUGGGUUUAAAGGGUGCGUAGGUGGGCAAGUAAGUCAGUGGUGAAAUCUCCGGGCUUAACCCGGAAACUGCCAUUGAUACUAUUUGUCUUGAAUACUGUGGAGGUCAGCGGAAUAUGUCAUGUAGCGGUGAAAUGUUUAGAUAUGACAUAGAACACCAAUUGCGAAGGCAGCUGGCUACACAAAUAUUGACACUGAGGCACGAAAGCGUGGGGAUCAAACAGG
rnacentral:rRNA from 1 species